rnacentral:lncRNA from 1 species
ACUCCUGCUAGAUACUUUCUUGCCCAGCCUCUUUGGAUAAAAAUAUUUGAUACCAAACUUUUGGGUUUCUGUUUUGGAUUAAUUAUGUCCGCCCUUCUAACCCUUGAGUAUACUUGAUUGGAUAACUGGCUCAUGAUACCCGAUUGGGCUACAAUCAUUACUAAUGUCAUCAAGUAUUCAUGUUGUUGUAACUAUUUGGCAUAUACAAUUAUCUUUACACAUUCUGGUUAAAAGGUUAGUUUGCUGUUAUUUUUCUUUUUCUUUAGGAGUGGCGUUAGGUAUUUCUUGUUUGCUAAUCGAUUUGUUCAGUUGGACGUUAUUGGUGAUUUUUUUUCUCUGUUUCAAAUUUAUACCUAUUGAUUUCUUUGUUGUGGACAUCAUAUUGUUAUUAGGUUGGUUGCACAUGGUGUAUGAGGGAUUUGAUUUCGG